AGAGUUUGAUCCUGGCUCAGAACGAACGCUGGCGGCAUGCCUAACACAUGCAAGUCGAACGAGACCUUCGGGUCUAGUGGCGCACGGGUGCGUAACGCGUGGGAAUCUGCCCAAAGGUUCGGAAUAACUCAGGGAAACUUGAGCUAAUACCGGAUAAUGUCGCAAGACCAAAGAUUUAUUGCCUUUGGAUGAGCCCGCGUAGGAUUAGCUAGUUGGUGGGGUAAAGGCCUACCAAGGCGACGAUCCUUAGCUGGUCUGAGAGGAUGAUCAGCCACACUGGGACUGAGACACGGCCCAGACUCCUACGGGAGGCAGCAGUGGGGAAUAUUGGACAAUGGGCGAAAGCCUGAUCCAGCAAUGCCGCGUGAGUGAUGAAGGCCUUAGGGUUGUAAAGCUCUUUUACCCGGGAUGAUAAUGACAGUACCGGGAGAAUAAGCUCCGGCUAACUCCGUGCCAGCAGCCGCGGUAAUACGGAGGGAGCUAGCGUUGUUCGGAAUUACUGGGCGUAAAGCGCACGUAGGCGGCUUUGUAAGUUAGAGGUGAAAGCCCGGAGCUCAACUCCGGAACUGCCUUUAAGACUGCAUCGCUUGAAUCCAGGAGAGGUGAGUGGAAUUCCGAGUGUAGAGGUGAAAUUCGUAGAUAUUCGGAAGAACACCAGUGGCGAAGGCGGCUCACUGGACUGGUAUUGACGCUGAGGUGCGAAAGCGUGGGGAGCAAACAGAAUUAGAUACCCCCGUAGUCC
rnacentral:rRNA from 1 species